ensembl:lincRNA Mir9-3hg Mir9-3 host gene
GCGCUUGGAGGGCGGCCGGAGCUGGGCCUGAGCCUGGAGACUCGCCUGAUCCCGGGCGGCCGAACCACCAUCACCACAACCGCCCCACCCCCGCCGUCGCCUCGUGGGGCCCCGGCCCCCUCCCGGGUCCGAUGCACUCCAGGGUGGGCCAGGAGAAAAGAGAAAAGACAGCUUGGUGAUGACUAAGAAGCAAGAAACUGGAGCCUAAGCUAGUACUGAGAGGAAAGCUACCUCUGCAGCGCUCCACUUUGCCCCAGCUUCAGGAUAUGUUGUCUUGGGAUACAGGACAAUGCAGAUGACUUUCGAAGCCCAGAUACAAUGCCUUCUCUCCUCAGACAUGGUGGGAUGUACUCUGAUCUAGAGCAGGCAGCUGGCCAGAGGCCCACAGGGAGCUCAGUGAUUGGCCUCAGAUGACCUUGGGGACAAAGAUUGUCCUGUGAAGGGAAGUGAUGGCACAGGCUCUGAUCAGCUCUUCUGGGAACAGACAGAGAAGUGAGAAUUCCUGCCAAAGCCACAGGAUGAACACAGAGCCAAGAACCUGAACCAGAAAAAUCCAGCAGGAAAGGAACCUGCACUAGCCACCAUCCUGAGGCUGCUGUACAGGGAGCAAUCCUACCGCAGGGACUUGGCAGGAGA